CCUACGGGUGGCAGCAGUAGGGAAUAUUGCUCAAUGGGGGAAACUCUGAAGCAGCAACGCCGCGUGGAGGAUGACGGUUUUCGGAUUGUAAACUCCUUUUGUUAGAGAAGAUAAUGACGGUAUCUAACGAAUAAGCACCGGCUAACUCCGUGCCAGCAGCCGCGGUAAUCCGGAGGGUGCAAGCGUUUCUCGGAAUCACUGGGCGUAAAGAGCGCGUAGGCGGGAUAGCAAGUCAGAUGUGAAAGCCUAUGGCUUAACCAUAGAACUGCAUUUGAAACUGGUAUUCUAGAGUAUGGGAGAGGUAGGUGGAAUUCUUGGUGUAGGGGUAAAAUCCGUAGAGAUCAAGAGGAAUACUCAUUGCGAAGGCGAGCUGCUAGAACAUAACUGACGCUGAUGCGCGAAAGCGUGGGGAGCAAAUAGGAUUAGAUACCCCAGUAGUC
rnacentral:rRNA from 1 species